CAGUAGCCGCGGUAAAACGUAGGGUGCAAGCGUUAAUCGGAAUUACUGGGCGUAAAGCGUGCGCAGGCGGUGGUUUAAGUCCGUCGUGAAAGCCCUGGGCUCAACCUGGGAAUUGCAGUGGAUACUGGGUCACUAGAGUGUGGUAGAGGAUAGUGGAAUUUCCGGUGUAGCAGUGAAAUGCGUAGAGAUCGGAAGGAACAUCUGUGGCGAAGGCGACUAUCUGGGCCAACACUGACACUGAGGCACGAAAGCGUGGGGAGCAAACAGGAUUAGAUACCCGCGUAGUCCCUGUCUCUUAUAC
rnacentral:rRNA from 1 species